rnacentral:rRNA from 1 species
UACGUAGGGUGCAAGCGUUGUCCGGAAUUAUUGGGCGUAAAGAGCUCGUAGGCGGUCUGUCACGUCGGCUGUGAAAUCCCGAGGCUCAACCUCGGGUCUGCAGUCGAUACGGGCAAACUAUAGUAUUGCAGGGGAGACUGGAAUUCCUGGUGUAGCGGUGAAAUGCGCAGAUAUCAGGAGGAACACCGGUGGCGAAGGCGGGUCUCUGGGCAAUAACUGACGCUGAGGAGCGAAAGCGUGGGGAGCGAACAGG